GAUGAACGCUAGCUACAGGCUUAACACAUGCAAGUCGAGGGACCGGCGCACGGGUAAGUAACACGUACCCAUCCUGCCCUUUACUCGGGGAUAGCCUUUCGAAAGAAAGAUUAAUACCCGAUGUAAAGGAUGGGGAUGCGUUCCAUUAGGUUGUUGGUGAGGUAACGCCUCACCAAGCCUUCGAUGGAUAGGGGUUCUGAGAGGAAGGUCCCCCACAUUGGAACUGAGGCCCGGUCCAAACUCCUACGCGAGGCAGCAGUGAGGAAUAUUAGUCAAUGGGCGUUAGCCUGAACCAGCCAAGUAGCGUGAAGGAUGAAUGCUUAUGGGUCGUAAACUUCUUUUAUAGAAGAAUAGGUAUUAUAUGAAUAAGGAUCGGCUAACUCCAUGCCAGCCGCCGCGGUAAUAC
rnacentral:rRNA from 1 species